GAUGAACGCUGGCGGCGUGCCUAAUACAUGCAAGUCGAGCGAACAGAUGAGGAGCUUGCUCCUCUGACGUUAGCGGCGGACGGGUGAGUAACACGUGGAUAACCUACCUAUAAGACUGGGAUAACUUCGGGAAACCGGAGCUAAUACCGGAUAAUAUAUUGAACCGCAUGGUUCAAUAGUGAAAGACGGUUUUGCUGUCACUUAUAGAUGGAUCCGCGCCGCAUUAGCUAGUUGGUAAGGUAACGGCUUACCAAGGCAACGAUGCGUAGCCGACCUGAGAGGGUGAUCGGCCACACUGGAACUGAGACACGGUCCAGACUCCUACGGGAGGCAGCAGUAGGGAAUCUUCCGCAAUGGGCGAAAGCCUGACGGAGCAACGCCGCGUGAGUGAUGAAGGUCUUCGGAUCGUAAAACUCUGUUAUUAGGGAAGAACAAAUGUGUAAGUAACGAUGCACGUCUUGACGGUACCGAAGCAGAAAGCCACGGCUAACUACGU
rnacentral:rRNA from 1 species